GAUAGAGGCCUACCAUGGUUUCAACGGGUAACGGGGAAUAAGGGUUCGAUUCCGGAGAGGGAGCCUGAGAAACGGCUACCACAUCCAAGGAAGGCAGCAGGCGCGCAAAUUACCCACUCCCGGCACGGGGAGGUAGUGACGAAAAAUAACGAUACGGGACUCAUAUGAGGCUCCGUAAUCGGAAUGAGUACACUUUAAAUCCUUUAACGAGGAUCUAUUGGAGGGCAAGUCUGGUGCCAGCAGCCGCGGUAAUUCCAGCUCCAAUAGCGUAUAUUAAAGUUGUUGCAGUUAAAAAGCUCGUAGUUGAAUUUCGGGGUUAGUAGGUUGGUCAUGCCUCUGGUAUGUACUGAUCUCACUGAUUCCUCCUUCCUUAUGAACCGUAAUGCCAUUAAUUUGGUGUUGCGGGGAAUUUGGACUGUUACUUUGAAAAAAUUAGAGUGUUUAAAGCAGGCUAACGCUUGAAUACAUUAGCAUGGAAUAAUGAAAUAGGACGUUCGAUCUUAUUUUGUUGGUUUCUAGGAUUGACGUAAUGAUUAAUAGGGAUAGUUGGGGGCAUUAGUAUUCAAUUGUCAGAGGUGAAAUUCUUGGAUUUAUUGAAGACUAACUACUGCGAAAGCAUUUGCCAAGGAUGUUUUCAUUAAUCAAGAACGAAAGUUAGGGGAUCGAAGACGAUCAGAUACCGUCGUAGUCUUAACCAUAAACUAUGCCGACUAGGGAUCGGA
rnacentral:rRNA from 1 species